rnacentral:ncRNA from 12 species
ACGCUAAGAGGUGGGAAAGGUACCCCACGCGCCUUUACGGUUAAAAAGAGAUGCGGGACACGCCGCCCCGCCUUAGCGU